rnacentral:sRNA from 1 species
UCGCGUCAAGCGCCGUAGGCAGGAGCGGGGGACCCAAGGUAAGUGCCGGGCCCGGCGGUCGAGGCAACUCGACGGCAGGUCCGGCUUGGGGUGAAGCCGUGUCCCGGGAGGGACGCGGCCGGGCAACUCAACCGGCCCGAACCCGACAGCUCACCUCGCAGGCGUCGGUGAGGGGAUCU